UCUGAAAAAGCUGGCAGGGCACACACUCUUGCAAAUUUUUCAUGUUGUAAUCACCCACCAGUGGUAAUAAUAGGGUUAAUUAUAUGAACCCAUAUAGUAGUGUCAUUUAAAGGGAAUUUAAAUUCUCUCUUGUCCUUACUCUGCUCCACCAUCCUCCACUGUGCUUGAAAUGCCUAUCAUUAUCCUUAUUCUUUUGAUACCAGGCAUCACUACAAAAUGUAUACACAUUACCUAGAUUUUCAAGAAGUGAAAUGUUUAGUAACCAUUAUGAUGGAAGCUGGGACUAGGUGACUUAUUCUAAAUGUAACAAUUACCGGUAGAGAAUGGGAUAAAGGACAACUGAGUGUGGAUAGAGAAAGGAGAAAUGGAAGAGUUUGGAGCACGGGCCAUUGCGAUGGACAGACGCCACCGCAGAGAGCAAGGUUUACCUGUGUGGUUGGCAUUCUUGGAAGUGCUCUGGUUCUAUUGGCAGAGAUCCUUGCUGUUAGCCUCUUGCCUUUCGCCCAGGCUGAAGACAGAGUGCUUUCCCAUGGUUCUGUCUUUUUCUCCAGGCAACACUUCCUGAUGACUGAUCAAUAUUGGGGUAGGAAGUCUUAGACAUCUUACUCCAGCUCAGAUCAGCUCUGAUGGGCUGCAGGCUCAGUUUAGGCUUCCCUUGAGAUUUCAUCAUGGCUUUACUUCUCCCUCUACCAGUCCUGGUUCUUCAUAGCCUUCCACAGGUGUCAGCUGCAAAAACCCUCCCAAGUAAGCCUCUUGUAUGCUACUCUGUCUCAGAGUCCAUUUCCUUGGGAACCCAACCUGCUACAGCCUACUUCACACUUCUUCUCAAGGCUGUCUUGAAUUCCUCCAACAAUAGACCCGUUAUUAUGUGAAAGUGUGAGGCUGGGCCCAAGGGAUUUCUUUACUUAUUGAGCAGAGCGAAGUAACAUUAAUUUGUGUUAUAACCACUGAAUGUUCUAAUUCCAUGAAUUUAAAUGACGCACCUGAACAUAUAUGAGGCCUAGAUUUUGCUGCAUGUCCGCAAACCUAUUUUGAUCAACCAGUACUGAACUUUUCCCCUUCUCUUAUGAUUGUCAAAUAACCUUGUUAUAUGCUAAAAAUAAAAGAUUAAAAAACAUACAGUGCAAAAAAGCAAACAAAAGUUAGCUAAUAAUCAAUUCUUUGAACGAAGCCCAGUGAAACC
rnacentral:lncRNA from 1 species